rnacentral:misc_RNA from 1 species
GAUUUUUUUUUUCUUCCUAAUGCUGCUUCUUGUUCCUUUUUAAGUUUAGUAACUUUCCCUACUAUAUUUUUUGAUCGACACAUAUUAAGUUAUCUACCCAGUUUAGCUAGAAAUACUUUUUCUGUUUUGUUUUUCCCAUUCUCUAUUGAACCUGUUUUGAACAACUGGUCUUUUUUUUGUGGAGUGCUGACCUUUAUAUUCCUUCAAGUUCUCUGCUG